rnacentral:tRNA from 1 species
GGAGAGUUGACCGAGAGGCUAAGGAGCUCGCCUGGAAAGCGAGUAAGGCGAAAGCCCCGUGGGUUCAAUUCCCACACUCUCCGCCA